AGCUUGCUGCUUUGAGACCGGCGCACGGGUGCGUAACGCGUAUGCAAUCUACCUUGUACAGGGGGAUAGCCCAGAGAAAUUUGGAUUAAUACCCCAUGGUGUUUAAGAGUGGCAUCACUUUUUUACUAAAGUUCCAACGGUACAAGAUGAGCAUGCGUCCCAUUAGCUAGUUGGUAUGGUAACGGCAUACCAAGGCUAUGAUGGGUAGGGGUCCUGAGAGGGAGAUCCCCCACACUGGUACUGAGACACGGACCAGACUCCUACGGGAGGCAGCAGUGAGGAAUAUUGGUCAAUGGUCGCAAGACUGAACCAGCCAUGCCGCGUGCAGGAAGACGGUCCUAUGGAUUGUAAACUGCUUUUAUACAGGAAGAAACCCUCUCACGUGUGGGAGCUUGACGGUACUGUAUGAAUAAGCAUCGGCUAACUCCGUGCCAGCAGCCGCGGUAAUACGGAGGAUGCGAGCGUUAUCCGGAAUCAUUGGGUUUAAAGGGUCCGUAGGCGGUUUAAUAAGUCAGUGGUGAAAUCUGGUCGCUCAACGAUCAAACUGCCAUUGAUACUGUUAGACUUGAAUAAUUGUGAAGUAACUAGAAUAUGUAGUGUAGCGGUGAAAUGCUUAGAUAUUACAUGGAAUACCAAUUGCGAAGGCAGGUUACUAACAAUUUAUUGACGCUGAUGGACGAAAGCGUGGGGAGCGAACAGGAUUAGA
rnacentral:rRNA from 1 species